AUAUUCUAUUGGUCAAUAUACGCGUGUGCAUGCGCGCCAUUGGAUAAUAGUCGUGUGUGAUGAAGACUGUAAAGUAAAACGCGGCAGUAACAUGCUUGAACACUAACAAAAUUCAUGACGUUAAUUGCCUUGCUAAGCUUUUAAACUUUUUUUUUGUCUGUGGUUGGGUUUGAACACAUCUUUGAUCGCGUGCAUCUCAGCCAACGACCUGUGAAGUGGACUAGUGUUAAUGAAAUUAAAUUACAACAGUUCGUUGUUGAAUGUAUCCAUCUACAAAAUACUUAAAAUGUCGUCCGAAAGAAAGAAAAACAGCGACAUUCGUCUUUGAAAGACAAGAUAAUGAAGCCUGUGGGAUUUAUAACAAUUUAUAUGUAGGCAAUUUCAAAGAUAAGUGUUUUUCUUUAUGUACAUGUCCACUCCGUAGGUGUUCAUCAUCUUCCUUCAAGAAUGCCAAAAUAAACGAACUAAUUGACUGUUUUCGUGAGACGAGAAGUUGCGGUAUCGGAAACACGUUCUAUUUAUCGAUUUACUGGCAAGAUUUCUAUCACAUGUGAUCAUUAUCAUCCAUUGGUAUGUUUACAUACGCAAUGUGGGCUAGGUUGGUUCGGGUUUCUUCUAGUAUUUAUACAUUCUAUAAGUUAUAGUUGCUCUUUCGCAUCACUUCAGUUUAAUGAAGUUUAAUUGGAUAUACUUCAUCCUGCCGGCUUAGCGCUUGUAGGAUAUUAUCGUUUAUCUUUUCCGACUUAUUGCAUCUCAUAGACAAGAACUGUUGGAGGGUUGAGCUUAAAGCAAAAUAAAUCACACCAUAUUGCAUCAUAUCGGGUGUGUUUACAUUUAAAAAUGUUUUCGAAGCAGUAAAUUAUAGUCGUAACGUUUUAUUCUUUAGAAAUUUACUACGGAAAGGAUUUUUACGGAGACAUAUUUUGAAUUUAAAACAGAGCUGUUGUAAUUUCUUUUUGUCUAACUCUGGAGCCACGAGUUUUUAAAACAUUCCUCCUUCAAAAGUUAUUUGCGUGCAAUGAAUUAUUGAUGUUUUUUGUUAAGUUUGCACGAUAACAGUUUGAAGUAAGAUUUGCUAUCUUAUUAAAGCUUCGUUAAUCAUAUUAAAAA